rfam:Ornithorhynchus anatinus chromosome 3, whole genome shotgun sequence.
CCGCUCUCAGGGUCACACCUGGAGAGUUUCCAGUACUCUACCAGUCUCGGCUAUGGGAGGGAGAGUCAAGCAGAGGCCUACCCAUUCCAUUCCUAGCUCGGGCAGUGGCUAGCAAGUGGAAGGCAAUCUGCUACAAAG